rnacentral:misc_RNA from 1 species
UAGCUCUUUAACAAUUUGGAAAGCUGACUAGUAAAUUCAAUCGAAUGAUUAAUUUAUUUUAAGUUUUUAUCGAAAGAUAAAAACGAGUUCUCAAAACAAACACAUUCAAGUGUCUUGUGUAAGAGUCCGGCGAAAACAUAAAAACCUUGGUUGUUGAGCCAUACGAAACCUCUUGGGGUUGUAU